rnacentral:lncRNA from 1 species
GGGUCCUAUAGGGCCGUGGGGUCCUAUGGGGGCUGUGGGGUCCUAUGGGGUCUGUGGGGGCUGUGGGUCCCACCCGUGUCUGUGGGCCCCAUAGGGAUGUGGGGUCUGUGGGGUCCUAUGGGGUCUGUGGGGUCCUAUGGGGUCUGUGGGGUCUGUGGGCUCUGUGGGGCUGUGUGGGCUGUAGGAUCCUAUGGGGUCUGUGGGGUCCUAUGGGGGUCUGUGGGGUCUGUGGGUCCCACCCGUGUCUGUGGGCCCCAUAGGGAUGUGGGGUCUGUGGUGUCCUAUGGGAUCUGUGGGGUCCUAUGGGGUCUGUGGGCUCUGUGGGCUCUGUGGGGCUGUGUGGGCUGUGGGAUCCUAUGGGGUCUGUGGGAUCCUAUGGGGUCUGUGGGGUCUGUGGGUCCCACCCGUGUCUGUGGGCCCCAUAGGGAUGUGGGGGCUGUGGGGUCCUAUGGGGUCUGUGGGGUCUGUGGGUCCCACCCGUGUCUGUGGGCCCCAUAGGGCUGUGGGUUCUGUGGGGUCCUAUGGGGUCCUGAGGGGUCUGUGGGGUCCUAUGGGGUCUGUGGGGUCUGUGGGCUCUGUGGGGCUGUGUGGGCUGUGGGAUCCUAUGGGGUCUGUGGGAUCCUAUGGGGUCUGUGGGGUCUGUGGGUCCCACCCGUGUCUGUGGGCCCCAUAGGGAUGUGGGGGCUGUGGUGUCCUAUGGGGUCCUGUGGGGUCUGUGGGGGUCUAUGGGGUCUGUGGGGUUCUGUGGGUCCUGUGGGGGGUCCUAUGGGGUUUGUGGGUUCCUAUGGGGUCUGUGGGGUUCUGUGGGUCCUGUGGGGUCCUAUAGGGUUCUAUGGGGUUCUGUGGGUCCUGGGGGGGUUCUAUGGGGUUUGUGUGUCCUGUGGGGUCCCUAUAGGACUGUGGGAUCCAAUGGGGUUCUGUGGGGCUGUGUGGGUCCUGUGGGUCCUAUAGGGUCCUAUAGGGUUCUAUGGGGUUCUGUGGGGUCCUGUGGGUCCUAUAGGGUCCUAUAGGGUUCUAUGGGGUUCUGUGGGUUCUGUGGGGUCCUAUAGGGUUCUGUGGGGUUCUGUGGGUCCUAUGGGGUUCUGUGGGUCCGGUGGGGUCCUAUAGGGUUUUAUGGGGUUCUGUGGGUCCUGUGGGGUCCUAUGGGGUUCUAUAGGGUUCUGUGGGUUCUGUGGGGUCCUAUAGGGUUCUGUGGGGUUCUGUAGGGUUCUAUGGGGUCCUGUGGGUCCUGUGGGGUCCUAUAGGGUUUUAUGGGGUUCUGUGGGUUCUACAGGGUUCUGUGGGUUCUGUGGGGUCCUAUGGGGUUCUAUGGGGUUCUGUGGGGUUCUAUGAGGUUCUGUGGGUCCUGUGGGGUCCUAUAGGGUUUUAUGGGGUUCUGUGGGUUCUAUAGGGUUCUGUGGGUCCUGUGGGGUCCUAUAGGGUUCUAUGGGGUUCUGUGGGUCCUGUGGGGUCCUAUAGGGUUCUGUGGUGUCACAGGGUGACGCAGGGACCCCAUAGAGACCCAAAGGGGGACGGCGGCACCCCAUAGGGACCCCAUAGGGACCCCAUAGGGGAACACCCAUAGGGUGACAGCGGGACCCCGUAAAGACCCCAUAGGGGGACACUGGGACCCCAUAGGGACCCCAUAGAGACACCUAUAGGGUGACGCCAGGACCCCAUAGGGACCCUAUAGCGACCUCACGGCUGCCCCAUAUUGGGACGCCCAGAGGGGCCCCAUAGGGGGACUCCCAUAGGGUGACAGCGGGGCACAAAUAGGGUCACCCGUAGGGACCCCAUAGGGGGACUCCCAUAGGGUCAUGUAGGGGCUUUACAUGGGGUCAGCACAUGGGGGACCCUAUAGCGACCCCAUAGCAGCCCCACAGGGACCCCAUAUAAGGACCCUAAAUAGGGACCCCAUAGGGUGACACCGGGACCCCAUAGGGACCCCAUAGGGUGGCGCCAGGACCCCAUAGGGACACCAUAGGGACCCCAUAGGGGGACUCCCAUAGGGUCAUGUAGGGGCUUUACAUGGGGUCAGCCCAUGGGGGACCCUAUACGACCCCAUAGCAGCCCCACAGGGACACCAUAUAAGGACCCUAAAUAGGGACCCCAUAGGGUGACACCGGGACCCCAUAAAGACCCCAUAGGGACCCCAUAUAGGGACUCCAUAGGGGAACACCGAUAGGGUGAUGCCAGGAUCCCCAUAGGGACCCCAUAGGGACCCCAUAAGGACCCCAUAGGGUCACACCGGGACCCCAUAGGGACCCCAUAGGGACCCCAUAAGGACCCCAUAGGGACCCCUUAGGGGGACACCCAUAGGGUUGACACCGGGACCCCAUAGAGCCCCACAGAGACCCAGUUGGGCCCCCAUAGGACCCCGUAGGGCCACCCUAUGGUGACACCGGGACCCCAUAGGGACCCCAUAGGGACCCCAUAGGGUGACACCGGGACCCCAUAGAGACCCCAUAGGGACCCCAUAGGGUGACACCGGGGACCCCAUAGAGACCCCAUAGGGACCCCAUAUAGGGACCCUGUAGGGGAACACCCAUAGGGUGACACAGGGACCCCAUAUAGGGACCCCAUAGGGGGACACCGGGACCCCACAGAGACCCCAUAGGGACACCCAUAGGGACAGCCAUAGGGUGACACGGGGACCCCAUAGGGACCCCAUAAGGACCCCAUAGGGUCACACCGGGACCCCAUAGGGACCCCUUAGGGACCCCUUAGGGGGACACCCAUAGGGUUGACACUGGGACCCCAUAGGGCCCCACAGAGACCCAGUUGGGCCCCCAUAGGACCCCGUAGGGCCACCCUAUGGUGACACCGGGACCCCAUAGGGACCCCAUAGGGACAGCCAUAGGGUGACACGGGGACCCCAUAGAGACCCCAUAGGGAUCCCAUAGAGUGACACCGGGACCCCAUAGGGACGCCAUAGGGACACCAUAGGGACCCCAUAGGGACCCCAUAGGGUGACACCAGGACCCCAUAGGGACCCAUAGGGACCCCAUAGGGUGACACUGGGACCCCAUAGGGACGCCAUAGGAACCCCAUAGGGACGCCAUAGGGACGCCAUAGGGACCCCAUAGGGACCCCAUAGGGUGACACCGGGACCCCAUAGGGACCCCAUAGGGACCCCAUAGGGUGACACUGGGACCCCAUAAGGACCCCAUAAGGACCCCAUAAGGACCCCAUAAGGACCCCAUAGGGUCACACCGGGACCCCAUAGGGACCCCAUAGGGCGGGGCGCAGUGCCGGGGGGGCAGUGCUAAAUAUAGGGCAGCGCGUGGCUGCCACAAAUAGCGCCGCGGGGUAUAG